rnacentral:rRNA from 1 species
UACGUAGGGGCCUAGCGUUGUCCGGAAUUAUUGGGCGUAAAGAGCUCGUAGGUGGUUCGGCAAGUCGGAUGUGAAAGCCCACGGCUCAACCGUAGAGGGUCAUUGGAAACUGGGGGACUUGAGUACAGAAGAGAAGAGUGGAAUUCCACGUGUAGCGGUGAAAUGCGUAGAGAUGUGGAGGAACACCAGUGGCGAAGGCGACUCUUUGGUCUGUAACUGACGCUGAGGCGCGAAAGCGUGGGGAGCAAACAGG